CGCGCCCGGCCUCAGUUUCCCCGGACACGGGUGUGGGCGCGGGGACGGGUCCCGCCCCGGCCGCCGACGUCACCCGAACCCCGGCCAGUUGAGGGCGCCCGGAGACAAGGACAGCGCAGCACAGAGAAGCGCGCCAAAGAGGGAUUGCUCGACAGAUGCCUGUUAUGAUACAUCCGUACGGUGGAAACCUACGCAGCGGUCAAAAAGGAUGCAGCUUCUGUACAUGAUGGACAAGGAAGAAUCUCCAAGUGCCCUGCCUGGAAACUCCCGGUUCAUCUUUUCUCUCCAGACCAGCCCUGGCAACAAUCCCGUCUGUCUGGUUGGAGAUCAGUUCCACGGAGCAGGAAGAGACGACCCAGCACUGGGCACCCAUGUGGGAAGGAGAUGUCAGUGGGGGCAAAGCCUCCUGCAGGGAGACUGAACCACUUACCCCACCCGGGGAUCAGCCAUGGCCUUGAUCCUGCUCCUUCCCUCUCCCCACCCCCCCCCCCGUCAUUACCCAGAACGUUCCCCCUUGCCCAGCAAACCAAACUGAUGCUCUUCAGCGGGACAUUCACAGCUCUGCACUUUCUGGCCUCAAUGUAUCCUUCUAGCCCAUCCCUCCACCCAUCAUUGUCACUUAUUUAAAGCAACUUUCAAAAAUACAGCUUCAGGGCUUCCCUGGUGGCGCCGUGGUUAAGAACCCGCCUGCCAAUGCAGGGGACACGGGUUCGAGCCCUGGUCCGGGAAGAUCCCACAUGCCGCGGAGCAGCUAAGCUCGGGCGCCACAACUACUGGGCCUGCGCUCUAGAGCCCACGAGCCACAACUACUGAGCCUGCGAGCUACAACUACUGAGCCUGCGUGGCACACCUACCGAAGCCCGUGCGCCUAGAGCCCGUGCUCCGCAAUGAGAAGCCACCACAAUGAGAAGCCCGCACACUACAAUGAAGAGUAGCCCCUGCUCGCCGCAACUAGAGAAAGCCCGCGCACAGCAACGAAGACCCAA